rnacentral:rRNA from 1 species
AGUGAACGCUGGCGGUAGGCCUAACACAUGCAAGUCGAGCGGCAGCACAGUAAUAGGUUGCUCUUACGGGGGGCGAGGGGCGGACGGGUGAGGAGUACAUCGGCAUCUGCUUGUGCGUGGAGUAUGACGGAGGUACACUUACGCUAAUACCGCAGACGACCUACGCGUGGGAGCGGGAGAUCUUGGGCGCUUGCACGGUCGAAUGAGCCGAUGUCGGAUUAGCUAGUUGGCGGGGUAAAGGCCCACCAAGGCGACGAUCCGUAGCUGGUCUGAGAGGAUGAUCAGCCACACUGGAACUGAGACACGGUCCAGACUCCUACGGGAGGCAGCAGUGGGGAAUAUUGGACAAUGGGCGCAAGCCUGAUCCAGCCAUACCGCGUGGGUGAAGAAGGCCUUCGGGUUGUAAAGCCCUUUUGUUGGGAAAGAAACGCUGCAGGCUAAUAUCCCGCUGUUCUGACGGUACCCAAAGAAGAAGCACCGGCUAACUUCGUG